rnacentral:rRNA from 1 species
AUUGAACGCUGGCGGCAGGCUUAACACACGCAAGUCGAGCGGAGAGAGGUAGCUUGCUACUGAUCUUAGCGGCGGACGGGUGAGUAAUGCUUAGGAAUCUGCCUAUUAGUGGGGGACAACAUUUCGAAAGGAAUGCUAAUACCGCAUACGUCUUACGAGAGAAAGCAGGGGAUCUUCGGACCUUGCGCUAAUAGAUGAGCCUAAGUCGGAUUAGCUAGUUGGUGGGGUAAAGGCCUACCAAGGCGACGAUCUGUAGCGGGUCUGAGAGGAUGAUCCGCCACACUGGGACUGAGACACGGCCCAGACUCCUACGGGAGGCAGCAGUGGGGAAUAUUGGACAAUGGGCGCAAGCCUGAUCCAGCCAUGCCGCGUGUGUGAAGAAGGCCUUAUGGUUGUAAAGCACUUUAAGCGAGGAGGAGGCUACUUUAGAUAAUACCUAGAGAUAGUGGACGUUACUCGCAGAAUAAGCACCGGCUAACUCUGUGCCAGCCGCCGCAGUAAUAC